UCACACCUGCAGAGAUCUUCUGAGGGGUCUUGCCCUCCUUACAUCAAGACUGCACUGCCUCUUGUGCUCUCACUGCCACGUUUUGUUUUUCCCACAAUGCUUUGAAAAUUAAGGGACAUCCUCCACAAACUAGUUUAAGUGCUGAACAAGCACAGCCGCAAACGUGGCCAGUGGGAGGGACGUGUUCAACACCUGAGCUGCGUUGCGGAACAUGCUGCUCGCAGCUGUCUCCAGUUAGAGUCUGGGAAGGGCUCCCCGCCCCACGCUGCCUGCAGGAUACGAUCUCCAGAGAGCGGUAACGAGCCCCAGCUGCUGCUGAGCCGGCCCGUGGGGCCAUAAGGCACAGCCUCCUUUCUCAAGGGCUUCACACACCACUGUACCGCACGCUCCUUGUGCUGAUGAUGUGGCACGCAAGCUCCUGAGCCGCCCGCAGGGCGGAGGGGACACCCAGGCAAGCAGAAGGGCAGGGAAAGGAUAGAACCUCUCUGCCAGAAAGUCACCUGCAGCCUGAAAUUCCUGAUGUCUGCUUGCUUCUUGCUUUGUGCAGUUUCAACAUCUAACAGCCCAAAGGGCCCAGGAAACACCUCCCAGGAAAAUGCAGCCCCUCCACUGCCUGAGAGCAACAAAGCAUCGAGAGUCACCAAAGCCCACGAGACUGACGGGAGAUGAAGAAGUAACCGGAUUUCAUGACUUACUGUCCAAUACUUAAUGAAAUACUUGAAGACUGUUGCAGCAAUAUACAAGCAAUACAACAAAGAAUAGGCUAAGAACAGCAGAAAGAAUUUGUAGUUAGAAAAUCCAAUGCAGUUAUUCACCCUGGAGGACAAAAGCAAAGUUGAAAUCAGGAUUGGUGCAGCACACAGCGGUUUGUAACACAAAGAGCACGAGCGGCUCGGGGGAGUUUGGAGCCCCCGGGUCACACAACCGAAUCUGCCAAGGCGCAGCUCCCCUUAGUGGCCGAAAGGGAACAGAAGCGAUGGCUCUGCCCUCCACUCAAACCCUCCUGCGGGCCAAGGACACGCACCGCUCAGACCUUUGGAAUCCUUCUAAGCCCAAUGAACCCCACGCUUGCUUAGAAUCCUCCAUGCACAGGACAACUCUAGAAAGGAACAAGAGGAUGUACAAAAAACCCGAGUGGACGUCAGCAUCAGAACUCAGGUUCUGGUGUGCAAUUCAGAACUGCCAGUGUACUGUGGGAAAUGAUGCUGAGCCUGCAAACAGUGAGUCCUUCUUCCUGAGCCUGAAGCAAUUCCUGAAGAAGAAACAAAGCUGGAAGCAUGAACUACACACACU